ACCGAAUUGGUGUAGGGGUCAACAUGCUGGAUUCUCAUUUCUAACUGAUAUUCCAGAGCCAGGAGUUCGAGUCUCCUAUUCGGUG